CAUUCUUAAUUAGCUUCGGUACGUACUGAGCUGAAAAGAUUGUCAAAAUGUUGUUGUUGGUUAUUUUGCUUCAUGGCGUUGCCUUUUGUACAGGAAGUGUUGUCACCGGUCAUAACACACCUACAGGUAUGUGGGGGUACGGCGACUUUCGCCCAUUCCUCUUAAGCAGUGAGAUCAUUUUCUUUGGUAUUCCAUUUUUUUUAAUAUGCUCGUUGCUCUACAUUUUUACCAUGUUGAAGACAAAAUGGGUUUACAAGAAAAUUGACCCGGAAGCUGCUGUGGACAGCAAGACCUCCGACCACAAACUGGAAACCAUUGAGGAAGAGCCAGGUAUCUACGUUGUGCCUCUUCCAAACCCAUAAGUAGGCAACAAUAAAAAUAUGGAAUAAGCCUGGAACGGCCAUUCUUUUGGAUAGUUUGUAGUUGGGAAUAGAUUAGUAAGCACAAUGUAUUAACCAUAUUAUAGUUUUUGUAGUCAUAUUUUACUGGGUGAGUGAGUAUACUCUAUACGUAUUAUAAUUGUUCUCAUAUGUAACUUAUAUAAUCAAUAAAUGUAGUUAGUUGGCAUCCAA